CCACAUGCCAAACAGGUGUUGUGGGAGAUCCCGCAGUCAGGAAUAUCCCCUGGAGAAGAAAAUGGCACCCACUCUGUUAUUCUUGCCGGUGAAAUCCCAUGGGCAGAGGAGCCUGACAGACUACACACAGUCCCUGGGGUUCCAAAGAGUCGGACGGCACGGAGCGACUGAGCAUGCGUGCCAGAAUACUACGCCAGGCAGAAGAAGUUAACUACAUGAUGACCAGACUAUACUCAUUACAUAAACUGCUACAAUUCUAAGAAUUGGCCUCAAAGAAAUGGAAACAAAUGGACCCUGGAAUUGGAGAUUAACUAUACCUAAAACAAUCAAGAUGAUGCUGGUCAGACCACCAAUGACGGAUUUGAAAAUGACUGUCAGGGAUAAUUGUGCUGUUUCUGCGUGUAGCUCCCACAACCCCCAACGUCUGUCUAUAAAAAAGUUCUUGCCCCACUGGUUGUUGGGUGGCAGGAGUUGGCCUUUGGACAGACUUCCACCACCGCCCCCCUCACCAGCUGCCAGCAUCUAAAAUAAAGCAAACUUUCCUUUCCUCCAAAAAAAAAAAAGAAAUGGAAAAAGCAAGAUCUCCAGUUCCAGAAACAAGAGUGUUGGGUUAGCUGUACAUGGACUCACUCUCUUCCCCAACCAUUCUUGUGGUGGCAAAUGUUUGUGUCCUACCAGCUAUAUCCUCAUCUGGCUCAUAUAAACCAAAGGUUAGAAUCUUAUAAGAUUUACUUAUCUUACCCAUAGUAAAUUUGUCAAAAAGGGAAGACUACAGCUGAAGAUAACCUGUGAUCUAAAAGCAUCUGGCUCAGUGGCUCCUGUUUGUAGAUUAAUAUAAGAGCUUCUCUAGACCUACAAGACCCUUUGGACCCAUCAAAACACAAUAUUUUACUUUAAGUACCUAUAAGUUUGUGUUUGUGGUGAAUAAAUGCACAUAUGAGUUUACCUUUAAUGUCAGCUUUAGAAAUACACAUUAACAGAAAUGUAGAGUGAAGCAAACUCCUUCCAAAAGCAAAGGAGUGUGGAAAAAAAAAAAAAAAAACUUUAUUCCUUUUAGAUCACUCUGUACAGCCUUCUCCCUCCCAUGUUUUUAUUUAUGUAAUAAUUUGCCAUUUUGAAUUCAAAAAUAAACAAAUGCU